AAUUGGGAGAACUUGACUGAGAAUCAGCGCAUCCAUGCAUCGUCAAUUUAUUUAAGUAUGGCUCGUAACUCAAGGCAAUGUCUAUCAAGCUAAGGAUAAAAGAAGAUUCAAAAGGAACACUAGUUUCACCCUCUUUCUGCACAUUACUAUCACAUUCUUGUGUAGCUUCAGGGGAGGGUGAAGCGAAAAAUGAGAAAAUUGUGUCAAACCAAUCCAAGCGUCCACCAACUGCAACAACAGUGCCGCACCGGACAGUGAUGGACACGGCACUGCUCUGUGGAUCUUGAAAGUGGAUAAUAUCUAAACCUGACAGCUUAGAAGAUAAUACAUUUGAACCUUCUCCGUCACCACGGCUACUGGAAGAGUCAUUGAUGGAGAUGAGGAGAAACUUUUCACUCGGGACCCCUGUAACUGAA
rnacentral:misc_RNA from 1 species